AUAUAGCCCCGAUAGCAGUGAAAAUCCUUUUGUGUCGGAGUUCGACACAAAAGAUUGCAACGGAUAGCGGGACUAGUG
rnacentral:sRNA from 1 species